GCUCAAUUGGAGUAUUUGGUGAUUCAGCUGAUGUGAUGAAAACUUUUUAAUUCAUAAAGCUAAUUCACUGAGUGUUCGAGUUGAG